rnacentral:rRNA from 1 species
CAAAGCCAACGCUUUGGGGCCGCCUGAGCUGGGCUUUCGCCCAGUCGAACUGUCAAAGUUCGUGGAAGCCGUAAUGGCACGAAGCGAGCGAACGGCAGGAUAGCGCAAGUCAGGUCAACCCAGAGCCCGUGAAAAGGCAAGCACACUGUCCGUACCGAGAUCCGACACAGGUACUCGUGGCGGCGAAAGCCAAGGUCUGUCGGGAGCAACCGACGUUAGGGAAUUCGGNAGCACACUGUCCGUACCGAGAUCCGACACAGGUACUCGUGGCGGCGAAAGCCAAGGUCUGUCGGGAGCAACCGACGUUAGGGAAUUCGGCAAGUUAGUCCCGUACGUUCGCAAUAAGGGAUGCCUGCCUCGCGAAGAGGCAGGUCGCAGUGACUCGGGCGCUCCGACUGUCUAGUAACAACAUAGGUGACCGCAAAUCCGAAAGGACUCGUACGGUCACUGAAUCCUGCCCAGUGCGGGUAUCUGAACACCCCUUACAAGGGGACGAAGGACCCGUUAACGGCGGGGGUAACUAUGACCCUCUUAAGGUAGCGUAGUACCUUGCCGCUUUAGUAGCGGCUUGCAUGAAUGGAUCAACGAGAGCGCCACUGUCCCAACGUUGGGCCCGGUGAACUGUACGUUCCAGUGCGGAGUCUGGAGACCCCCAAGGGGAAGCGAAGACCCUAUAGAGCUUUACUGCAGGCUGUCACUGAGACGUGGUCGCCAUUGUGCAGCAUAGGUAGGAGCCGUUACACAGGUACCCGCGCUAGCGGGCCACCGAGGCAACAUUGAAAUACUACCCGAUGGUGACUGCGACUCUCACUCCUGGCGGAGGACACUGGUAGCCGGGCAGUUUGACUGGGGCGGUACGCGCUUGAAAAGAUAUCGAGCGCGCCCCAAGAUUUCCUCACUCGGGUCGGAGACCCGAGAAAGAGCGCAAGAGCAUAAGGAAGUCUGACAGUGUCCGGCACAACGACGGACGCUGACGCGAAAGCGUGGUCUAGCGAACCAAUUAGGCUGCUUGAUGCGGCCAAUUGCUGACAAAAAAGCUACCUUAGGGAUAACAGAGUCGUCACCCGCAAGAGCACAUAUCGACCGGGUGGCUUGCUACCUCGAUGUCGGUUCCCUCCAUCCUGCCCGUGCAGAAGCGGGCAAGGGUGAGGUUGUUCGCCUAUUAAAGGAGGUCGUGAGCUGGGUUUAGACCGUCGUGAGACAGGUCGGCUGCUAUCUAUUGGGGGUGUGAGGUAUCUGACGGGAACGUUCGUAUAGUACGAGAGGAACUACGAAUGGGUGCCACUGGUGUACCGGUUGUUCGAAAGAGCACGUGC